rnacentral:rRNA from 1 species
GAUGAACGCUAGCGGCAGGCCUAAUACAUGCAAGUCGAACGGGAUCCAGAUCAAAGCUUGCUUUGGUUUGGUGAGAGUGGCGUACGGGUGCGUAACGCGUGAGCAACCUACCCUUGUCAGGGGGAUAGCCCGGCGAAAGUCGGAUUAAUACCGCAUGACAUCAUUGAGAGGCAUCUUUCGAUGAUCAAAGAUUUAUCGGACAAGGAUGGGCUCGCGUGACAUUAGCUAGUUGGUAAGGUAACGGCUUACCAAGGCUACGAUGUCUAGGGGCUCUGAGAGGAGAAUCCCCCACACUGGUACUGAGACACGGACCAGACUCCUACGGGAGGCAGCAGUAAGGAAGAUUGGGCAAGGGACGGAAGUCUGAACCAGCCAUGCCGCGUGCAGGAAGACGGCCCUAGGGGUUGUAAACUGCUUUUAUACGGGAACAAACGUCGGUACGUGUACCGGUCUGAGUGUACCGUAAGAAUAAGGAUCGGCUAACUCCGUG